rnacentral:lncRNA from 1 species
AUCUCUCCAGCCCUUUUAUUUUUAUUCUUUUUAAAAUUGCAUCUACUUAUUGUAUUGUUUAUGUAUGUGCUUGCACUCACACAUGCUGUCAUAAGUGUGGCAGUCAAAAGACAACUUGUAGGAACUUUAUCUUUCUACAAUAUGGACUUUGGUGCUUAGGUCAUCAAACUUUAACAUGCUGCGCCAUCUUACACUCCCACUUCCUUUGUUUUGGAGGAAGUCAUACUCUGUAGCUCAGACUGGUUUUGAACCCAUGUGGUGGUUUGAAUAUGCUUGGCCCAGGGAGUGGCACUAUUAGGAGGUGUGUGGCCUUGUUGGAUAGAAUAGGCAUGGCCUUCUUGGAGGAAGUGUGUCACUGUGGGGUGAACUUCAAGAGAGGUUUCUCCUAGCUGCCUGCAGAACAAGACAUGGAACUCUCAGCUCUUCCAGCACCAUGCCUGCCUAGAUGUUGCCAUGCUUCCUGCCAUGAUGAUAAUGAACUCAACCUCAGAACCUAUAAGCCAGCCCCAAUUAAAUAUUGCCUAUUAUAAGGGUUACCUUGGUCAUGGUGUCUCUUCACAGCAGUGAAAACACUAGCUCAAACAGCCCAUAACAGUCCUUCUGCUUCAGCCUUCCAAGUGCUGCUGGGAUUAGAGGAGUGAACUACCAAUGCCUGAUAUAAAGUGGUCAUCUUGAAACAAUUUGCUGGUGUGUUUCCUAGAAGACUGAAGGCAUCAUUGGGAUAUCCUUAACAUUUGUGUGUACAUGUGGUUGUUCACAGGAGCUUCCCUUACACUGAUAUGCUUUAUGUGUUUUUGAUAUUUACUAUUUCAAGCUCUAAUAUCUAUGGAUAGUGUGUUUCAGUUGAACUCUGUGUGGUGUGAGAAUUUUUCAGUAUUUGUUUUGUCUAAGAAUGUUAUGGCUGGGAAAUUGGCCUUUACAUUUUAUUGAGUUUUAACUUCAGUAACUUCAUAUGGUUAACUUUUUUUUCUCUAACCCUUCUAUUAAAACUAAAGAAUAUAUCUAAAGAAAUACUUGUGUGCAUACUUUGGAAAAAAUUUUUAAUACACACACACACACACACACACUGUAUAUAUUGGGGCUAGAGAAAUUGGAGAGAAUGCUCAGUGGUUAAGAGCAUUGACUGUUCUUCCAGAGGACCUGGGCUCUGUUCUCAUUACCCACACAAUGGUUCACAACCAUUUAUAACUCCAAUUCCAGGAAAUACCACACCUUCUGGCCUCGGGGCACCAAACAUGCACACAGUGCAGGCUAAAGACUCAUAAUAAAUAAACAAAAUAAAGAGAUCUGUAAAAUUUUACAGUAUAUGUAACACUUACAAUUCCAGCAUUUCGGAGCCUGAAGGAUGAGAGUUUCAUUUCUAAGUUCAGUGCCUGCUUGUGCUACAUAGGGAGAUUCCCCCCAACCCCAUCCCAAACAGCAACAAUAAAAACAAAACAAAACUAAACAAAAACAAAAAACCUCAUACUCAAAAUGAAUUAGUUGAAUAAAGGAAGAAAGGAAAAUAUAAUGACUCAAAUUCAGAUAAGUUUGUUUGUUUUGAGACAGGGUUUCUCUGUGUAGCCCUGGCUGUCCUGGAACUCAGUAAUUCACCUGCCUCUGCCUGCCAAGUGCUGGGAUUAAAGGUGUAUGCCAUCACACCUGGCCUUCAGAUAGGUUUUUAAGCCACCUCUUCAUUAAAGAUAUUUCGACCUGUAGUAGUUAGUCUACAACAAGCCAUUAAGGGAAAAAAAUCUACUUUUAACACCUUUUUUUUUUUUUAAGAUUUAUUUAUUAUUAUAUCUAAGUACACUGUAGCUGUCUUCAGAUGCACCAGAAGAGGGCGUCAGAUCUCAUUACAGAUGGUUGUGAGCCACCAUGUGGUUGCUGGGAUUUGAACUCAGGACCUUCAGAAGAGCAGUUGGUGCUCUUAACCACUGAGCCAUCUCUCCAGCCCCCUCUUAACACCUUUAAGAUCAUAAAUCUUGGUGGCUAAUGACCAUGCAUGCAAAUAUGCAUAAAACUAUCGAAUAUAUUUAAUCAUUAAGAAACUAGACAAAUAGGUCUUUGUUUUUUUGUUUGUUUUAAGGUAAUAAGUGCAGAGUAUGGUGUGACACCUGUCUAAUUCCAGCAUUUCAAAUACUAAGGCAGAAAUGUUAUGCAGUUGAGUCCAGCUGGGGCAACAUCCCAAAUUUUUGGUCAGCCUAGGAUACACAAUGAGACUCACAAGGAGUCUCAAAAAGGCAGAAGCCAGGGAUGUUGUUCAAAAUAGAGUUCUUGCUCUGUUUGAUCUCUAGUACUCCAAAAUUAACAGGGAAACAAAGUAAGAUGACAGAAUAUCAUCAUUGUGCUUAAGAAAGCUAAACUCUUCUAAGCAUGAUGGCUCAUGCCUUUAAUCUAGGCACUAGGGAGAUAGAAACAGGCAAGCCUGCCCUUUAGUGAGCUCUAGGCCAGCCAGAGCUACUGUCUCAAAAAACAGACCUUAUCUCAAAAAAACAAAACAACC